CAUAAUUUCUGAAAAACUAAUGUGUGAUUGUGCUUGCGUCAUCUCUCUCUCUCUAUAUAUAUUUAUUUAUUUAUUUAUCUUUUUUCUUUUAACUUAUUAUUUUUCGAACUAAAUGGAAUUGCCUGAGCAUGUUCGUAUGAAUAUAACAGCCGAGAAUUAGCCUUUGAAUUUCGAAAAUGAAAUUGUCGAAAACAAUGAAAUAGUUUCCGUUUGGUGCAACUUAAAAUCCAUGGAUGAUAUCAGCGAAUGGAUGAAACAAUUUGGAAAUUCAACUAAUAAUAAGUGGAACAGUAGAAAAUCAUACCCUUCAGGAAAAAUAUUUGUUUGCUGAAAAAAAUUUGUAUGCCAACAUAGCUCAUUCAGUAAGGUGCCAUUUACCAAAAAUAAGAAAUGAAUUUCAAAAAAUGCUGAAUGCCUUGCCUUUGUUAUGGUGGAAAUAAAACUAAAUACUACACGCAUGAGAAAGGAAAAUGAUUUUGUAAGAGUGCUAAAGGCUUAAGAGAACUGUUCGGAGAUUAUUUUGGUGAUGGCAUGGGACCUGUGGUAGCAGCCAAAUACUACAAAGAAGUUCUGCAGAUGAAGUCGGAUUUCCAGCUAAGUGAUCUGACAAGUAGUAGGAUUAAUCUUUUUCGAAGAACAAUUGAAUAUUGGUAUGAAAAGUGGAAACUUCUUUAUCUGGGAUCUUGAAAUGAGGCUGGCAUGAUUGAAAUAAGUUGCAAAUUCUAAAUUUAAGAACUAAGUGGGACAUUAAUUUAUUGAUUUGCAGUAUUUAUUUAAUCACUUCAUAAGAUCAGUGGUGUGUUUAAUUUAUAUAUUUCAUAUCUGUGCUUAAUAUUGAAUUAAGAUAUUUCUGAUUUAUAUGUAUUCAUUAACAUUUAUGUUACAGUUUGUAAUGUAAG